rnacentral:rRNA from 1 species
AGAGUUUGAUCCUGGCUCAGAUUGAACGCUGGCGGCAGGCCUAACACAUGCAAGUCGAACGGUAACAGGAAGCAGCUUGCUGCUUUGCUGACGAGUGGCGGACGGGUGAGUAAUGUCUGGGAAACUGCCCGAUGGAGGGGGAUAACUACUGGAAACGGUAGCUAAUACCGCAUAAUGUCGCAAGACCAAAGAGGGGGACCUUCGGGCCUCUUGCCAUCGGAUGUGCCCAGAUGGGAUUAGCUUGUUGGUGAGGUAACGGCUCACCAAGGCGACGAUCCCUAGCUGGUCUGAGAGGAUGACCAGCCACACUGGAACUGAGACACGGUCCAGACUCCUACGGGAGGCAGCAGUGGGGAAUAUUGCACAAUGGGCGCAAGCCUGAUGCAGCCAUGCCGCGUGUAUGAAGAAGGCCUUCGGGUCGUAAAGUACUUUCAGCGGGGAGGAAGGGGUUAAGGUUAAUAACCUUAGCCAUUGACGUUACCCGCAGAAGAAGCACCGGCUAACUCCGUGCCAGCAGCCGCGGUAAUACGGAGGGUGCAAGCGUUAAUCGGAAUUACUGGGGUAAAGCGCACGCAGGCGGUCUGUCAAGUCGGAUGUGAAAUCCCCGGGCUCAACCUGGGAACUGCAUUCGAAACUGGCAGGCUUGAGUCUCGUAGAGGGGGGAGAAUUCCAGGUGUAGCGGUGAAAUGCGUAGAGAUCUGGAGGAAUACCGGUGGCGAAGGCGGCCCCCUGGACAAAACUGACGCUCA